AAAACUUCCUGUAUUCUUUCUGGCAGGGAGCGACCACACAGAGCACAACACCGCUCGCACCGGACAAUUGUUUACAUCGAUGCUGCAGAAAGUCAAGAACAAUUAUAACAGGGGUCUGGCAGAAAUCCAGCUGACCCGGAGUGCUAUUGGGCUGACCCAGCAAGAUACAUGGGCUGAGUCGAAGCAGGGUCUCUGCAGACUGGCCUUUAGCUCUUUUUCAUUGAAAACAGACUCCCACUGGCCUGCUUUUGGCUUUGCAAAUAUGUUCCUUUAUUUGCUUUGCCCCCCAUACUACCACACCACAAUACUAAUAAUAAUGACCCUGAAUGAAAAUCUCCACACUGGACCAAUUUACAAACUCGCAAAGGAACAUCUCAGUAUGAGUUGGGUUAUUGAGUUGCAAGAGAUGAUGUCUGCUGCUGAUGCUUUAUUAUCCUCAGAAAAUAAUUUCUCAAGGCAAUGCUUGUCAGUUCACAAUAAUAGCAUGAUGCCACCCACACAAAUACAAAGCUAAUCUGUCUGUAAGACCGAUGCACCUUCCAUAUUUAUUUAAGUGCAUUAAACUGGGAUGCAGCUACUGUAUUGUUUUGAAUCCAGCAGCGGCAUGUAGGUAGCAGAGCAAAAUUCAAUCCGUGGCUCUCUCUACUAAGAACACCUGGUGAGGGGACAAGCAUCACGCUGAGGGCCUGCGCAGACCCCCACCAGCAAGAGGCUGCAAAUCAAAGCAUCAGAGGUGUUUCAUCUCUUCGCUGGAGUCUCAGUUUUUCAUCCGGGGUUAAGACUGAAAGACUGACACUUAAACUUAUGGCUCCUCACAUCUACAGCCACGAGCAGAUCCUCUCGCAGACGCACGAGGGAGAAACCUUGACGAGGCGCAUGAGAGGAAAACCAGCACAUUUGGGUAUGUCUAAAACCUUCAAAGCAUUCUCCGUCAGCCAGAUCUUUUUAGUGAUUCAGCCUAUAGCACAGACUAGCACAUGGAAAAAGAUAUCCUAUAUUUUUUGGCAGCAUGUGUUUUUUGUGUUUCUCUGGACCUUGAGGUUCAUGGAGCCCCCGCAAAAUGAAGUGAGAGCUUGCAGCAGCUGCCAGACGGCAUGUAAUAUGGACAUACUACCUCCUCUGAUGAGGUCGAGAGGAAAGACAAAUUUUCAAAAGGAGAACGGAAAUAAGAGGAUUAGGGCUUAUAAUGUGUGUGCAACCUCCCACUAAGACAAGUGUGCCUUGUUGCAGAAUACCUGUGACUCAUGUAAGGGCUGUUUACAAUGGAUUCAUAGACAGUCACAAGACAAAGGAGGAGCAUUUUGAUUGGUUGGUGCAGACUGUGUUGGUGGCAGAUGUGACACUUAAAAAGCUGAAGGUCAUUAACAGUACCUUUUUAAUGUUUUCCUGAAGCACAUAUUUUUAAUAAUAAAAGGCACAUUCUGAAUCCCACUGUCACUGAACCCCUUUACUUAUUACUACCUAAUUUGUUGUUAUUCAUUCUAAAUUGUAAUUAAAUGUGCCGCAACACCUCGGCAGCAGAUGGGCUCCUAAAGCGCACAGAAAAUAAUUAAAAGGGGAUUUUAAUGACCUUAAUAAAUAACCUGUGAUUGUGAGAAAUGAUCUAAGAAAUGUCGUUUUGAAAGAAGACGUUGUGCAUUGUUGGCCUAUGUUAGUCACCAUGUGCAAAGGAUUUACUUGCAAUCUAGUGUUUGGAGUACUAAAGCAAAAAAAAAGGAUUACGUUAACUUGGUCCGAAUUUUGAAAUUGAAGUAAUUAGUAAAGUAAGUGGAACACGUUUAUUUGCUCAAAAACACCAGACAGAGUAGCCAAAUGUAGUGGAAGCAAUGCCAACAAAACACAACUGUUCCCACAUUUGCCCUAUUAUCGUAUCCAGGUUAUAAAAGGUUUGAUUGAUGGAGGCGUUGGCAGAGCAGCGAAAAUUGCUCUCUUGGCAUAUUUACAUGUGGUAUAUCACUGCCUACAGAGUGAGUGACUUGGCAUUUGUGCCAUCCGCAAACAUUAAUAAGACAUAAAUAAAUAGAAUGAGGGAAAGGUGAUUAUGUAUGUCUGUUGGGAUUUUGGAGCAGGAUGCUUCUGACAAAAGAACAGGCUCCCUCGCCAAGCCUCUAUCAGCUUCCUAAGUCAUAUCAGAUGUUUGGGCUUUAUUGGGACUUGAAAUAGUUUUAAGCCUGAGCACCCGCCCUGCUGGAUUUAUCUCCUGCGAAAUAAAGACACACACAAUAAUGAGUACCACUUAGUGUGAUAUCUGUUUCUUCUACAAAUUUUUUUUCUUUAAAUCUAAAACUACACCUUGAAUUAUGACAGGCAGGUGAAUGGUAGUUAAUGUAACAGGCAAUAUAUCUCUUGACAAGACUAGUAUCCUUGAAAUUUAUUUUUUACAGAGCCAGUCUUGUUACAACUGGACUGCUAAAAUGUCUUCUUCAAUGGAUUAAAGAAAAACCUCCAUCAAACAAUGUACAACACAGCCACUGUGGCUCUGAAUAAAAACCUCAUUGCCGUGGAACAGUGUAGACGUUUUGCUCAGCCUGUACUGAAAACCUUCGGCAGCAGGGAUUAGGAGAGAAGAUGGAGCAUUUAUGUCGUCCACUGCAUGUUUCCUAAAUUACACUAUGCGGGUCAUUUCCAUAGGGGGGAAAAAGUAGGCCUGCGGCGUAUCUAAUUUGUCUAUAAUACCAGCAGAAAUAGAGAAUCUUCUGCCAAGCAGCAUCUCAACUUCUCCCUUUGUUUGACAUCCCGUUGCCGGAAUUGCAAAACUCUGCCAAUCUCCUGCCGAUAUUCCAUGAAAUCAGCCGAAAAAAACAAAACAAGUCAUGCACUGGAAAGAUUGUUUUAUAGAUAUCCAAUGUGUUUUAAUUUACAAUUCCUGAAGUAUUCAGUUGUUUAGUUUUUACUGCAAAAGUAUUUCCAAAACACAUUAAACAUGAAUUAUUUUUACUAUUUUUGUGCUAUAUUGAUAAUUGACAAUUUACUAAAGUGGGUAAACGUAGUUUUUUUUAGCUUUUUAAAUCAACUGGACUAGCCAGUGUUAUAAUUCAUAAAGGUAUACUAAAUCUGAUUAUAAACCUGGUCAGCAGUAGAGUGUAAAUGGCUGUGGUUGUACAGGUUUGAAUGUGUAACUGUAUAAAAGUGUACUGGGGACUUGCAUUUAUUUUAUUAGACAACAUAAAACUGUAUUCACCCUAAUUCCAAAC